ACGAACUUCUGGGGGGUGGAACGCUUGCGUUUGGUGAGGCUGUUGGCCAGCCGAUCAAUGAAGGUUGGCCGCUCAGAGGAUGAGUGCAACAUGGAGUCUGGCACCAUCUCCAGAUCGCAUCCCUUUGUGAAGAGGGGGUAGAUGCUGGAAUCAUCCUGGUCCUGCACUCCCUCUGACCCAGCCCUCAACUCCCCCACAGGCCUGCCUACAGCCCUACCUGCUUGGCCAGCCAGAGCUUGGGCUUCAGUGCUGAGACUCUGUAGGUAGUUGUGGCACCGCUCUUUGUGCUCCUCCAGGGUACUCUGCUGUUUGUAGCUCCGGCCACAGUAGUUACACUUGUAGGGCUUGCCCACCGUGGGAGAGGAGACUGUGGAGGAGACGGGAGACGGAUGGCAUGAGUUACUUCUCCCUGUACCCUGGCUCUACAAAACCAUCCAGGAGCAAAGGCUCAUGGGCUUGAGGAGGAAGGGAUGUCGCUCAGAUUUUAUUUUUAAGUAAUCUGGGGCUAGAACUUACAGCCCCAAGAUCAAGAGUCACAUGCUUCACCAGCUGAGCCAGCCAGGCACCUCUACUGCUUAUUUUUCUGUCCCUCUACACUGAGAUACCAAGAGAGCCCCAGAACAACUAUCACUGAUAGAGAAAUUCCGAGAAGAGAAAAAGAAUAAAAGGACAGAGAGGAGAAUAAAGGAGAUGAGUAAAAGGAACAGAAACAACAACUUUGAGGGCCUUUAAAAUUUUUUUAAAAAUAAAGAACAAGUUAUAAAGAUUUUUUCUGGGGUGUCUGGCUGGCUUAGUUGGGAGAGCAUGCGACCCUUCAUCUCAGUGUUGUGAGUUCAAGCCCCAUGGUGACUGUACAGAUUACUUAAAGAAAAAAAAGAAGAUUUUGUUUCUACUGAAGAAGUCAGGAAAACUGAGAUGGACACUUCAUUUAAAGACAACUUUUGAGAGAUGAUAUUUGUGACAGGAGAAGGAAAGUGAGAGAAACAAGAGUUUCAGUAUCCUUGUCAGCAAAACAAGGAUAAUGCCAUCUACCUUAGAGGCGUUAUGAGGAUCACAUGAAAAAACAAGCAAAAUGCUUUGUGGAUUAUAAAGCCUGAAUCAACGAUGACCUUUCUCCCUGUUUCUCUACUCACCUCCAAGGUAACUGACCCGAGUGUGUGCGGAGGUGGCCAGUGAGAGCAUCGCGCCGGCGGCAGGCGUAGUUACAGAAGGGACAUUUGAAAGGCUUCUCCCCAGAGUGAAGUUUGAUGUGGCGCAGCAGGUUCCCCUUCUGGGUGAAGGAGGCGCCACACUGGUUGCAGUGGAAGGGCCUUUCACCUGCAAGAGAAAGAACAGAUCUCUGAGGACUGCAUGUGAGGAAUUUUGAAGGCUGAACCUCUUCUGUCACCCUCUGCCCCACCCUGCCUAAGGGACGAUGCUCAGAACAAUUACUGAGAGGCAGAGCUGUGGCACGCACAGGAAAUUCCUGCUUUCUAAAGAUUCCCUUGGGAAGAGACUUACCCUGGGAAGGUGUGGAUCAGGAUGAAUGGCAGGGCAAAGGGCACCAGGCCUGGAACUCUGGGCCAAAAGAUCAUUAACCCAAAACCGAGCCUUAUAAGACCCACUCUGCCCCUGGAGCCCAAAGGCUGAGAAAGCUGAGAAGAGGCUUUUGUUUUCCUUUUC